rnacentral:rRNA from 2 species
GGCUACUACAUCCAAGGAAGGCAGCAGGCGCGCAAAUUACCCAAUCCCGACUCGGGGAGGUAGUGACAAUAAAUACUGAUACAGGGCUCUUUUGGGUCUUGUAAUUGGAAUGAGUACAAUUUAAUUCCCUUAACGAGGAACAAUUGGAGGGCAAGUCUGGUGCCAGCAGCCGCGGUAAUUCCAGCUCCAAUAGCGUAUAUUAAAGUUGUUGCAGUUAAAAAGCUCGUAGUUGAACCUUGGGCCUGGCUGGCCGGUCCGCCUCACCGCGUGCACUGGUCCGGCCGGGUCUUUCCCUCUGGGGAGCCGCAUGCCCUUCGCUGGGCGUGUCGGGGAACCAGGACUUUUACUUUGAAAAAAUUAGAGUGUUCAAAGCAGGCUUAUGCUCGGAUACAUUAGCAUGGAAUAAUAGAAUAGGACGUGCGGUUCUAUUUUGUUGGUUUCUAGGACCGCCGUAAUGAUUAAUAGGGACAGUCGGGGGCAUCAGU